CACUCCUACGGGAGGCAGCAGUGGGGAAUAUUGGACAAUGGGCGCAAGCCUGAUCCAGCCAUGCCGCGUGAGGGAUGAAGGCCCUAGGGUUGUAAAGCUCUUUCACCGGUGAAGAUAAUGACGGUAACCGGAGAAGAAGCCCCGACUAACUUCGUGCCAGCAGCCGCGGUAAUACGAAGGGGGCUAGCGUUGUUCGGAUUUACUGGGCGUAAAGCGCACGUAGGCGGACUAUUAAGUCAGGGGUGAAAUCCCGGGGCUCAACCCCGGAACUGCCUUUGAUACUGGUAGUCUUGAGUUCGAGAGAGGUGAGUGGAAUUCCGAGUGUAGAGGUGAAAUUCGUAGAUAUUCGGAGGAACACCAGUGGCGAAGGCGGCUCACUGGCUCGAUACUGACGCUGAGGUGCGAAAGCGUGGGGAGCAAACAGGAUUAGAUACCCUUGUAGUCCCAUGAU
rnacentral:rRNA from 1 species